AGAGGCCACACUCAUCGUAGCAGAGAGGCAGGAACAGCUGGGCGAGGGUCCUUCUGUGACAUCUACUGCAUCACUGGGCUCUGUGAAGUGACUCAGCUGCCAGAACUCACACAAUAUUCUGCACCAAAACCUCACGGGAAAAAUGCAUCACGAACCUCAGACUUAAACAGCACAACAGGCUCCUCCCAGGUCUCCAGCUACACAACCCUCAGACUUAAACAACAGCAGCGGCACCAGCUCCUCCCUGGGUCUCCAGCUCCACAAACCUCAAAUUAGAACAGCAGCACUGGCUACACCCAGUCUCCAGCUCUACACCUCUAACUUGAACUACAGCCACCAGCUCCUUCCUGGGUCUCCGGCUCCACAGACCUUAAACGAAAACAGCAGCACUGGCUCCUCCCCAGGUCCCCAGCUACAGACCCUCAAACAAGAAGAACAGCAGCACCAGCUCCACCUAAAGUCUCCAGCUCCACACCUCAAACUAGAACUUCAGCACCCGCUCCUCCCCGAGUCUCAAUAUCUGUGACCCUCAAAAUAAAACAGCAGGACCAGCUCCUCCUCUGGUCUUCAGCUUCACGACCUUAACUGUAACAGCACCACCCGCUCCUCCGGGGUCAACAGCUCCGACGCUAAAACUAGAACAGCAGACCAGCUUCUACCUAAAACACCAGCUCCGAGACUCUCAAACAAGAACAGCAGCACUGACUUCUCUCACCAGGUCUCCAGCUCCACGAUCCUGAAACUUGAACGGCAGCACCCGCUCCUCCCCGGGUCUCCAGCUCCACGAACCUCAAACUUGAACAGCAGCACCCGCUCCUCCCAGCGUCUCCAGCUCCAUGAACCUCAAACUUGAACAGCAGUACCCGCUCCUCCCCGGGUCUCCAGCUCCACGAACCUCAAACUUGAACAGCAGCACUCGCUCCUCCCAAGGUCUCCAGCUCUGCGAACCUCAAACUUGAACUGCAGCACCUGCUCCUCCCCGGGUCUCCAGCUCCACGAACCUUAAACUAAAACAGCAGUACUCACUCCUCCCCAGAUCCCCAGCUGCAGACCCUCAAGCUGCAACAGCAGCACCAUCUCCUCUCCAGGUCUCCAGCUCCAUGGACCUUAAACUAGAACAGCAGCACCAGCUCCUCCUUGGGACAACAGCUCCAAGACCCUCAAACUACAACAGCAGCCCUGACUCCUGCCCAGGUUUACAGCUCCACAAACGUCAAACUUGAACUUCAGCACUAGCUGAAGUCUCCAGCUCCCUGACCCUCAAACUAGAACAGCAGCACCAUCUCCUCUCUGGGUCUCCAGCUCCACGAACCUCAAACUUGAACUGCAGCACCUGCUCCUCCCUGGAUCUCCAGCUCCACGGACCUUAAACUAAAACAGCAGUACUCGCUCCUCCCCAGGUCCCCAGCUGCAGACCCUCAAACUGCAACAGCAGCACCAUCUCCUCUCUGGGUCUCCAGCUCCAUGGACCUUAAACUAGAACAGCAGCACCAGCUCCUCUCCUGGUCUCCAGCUCCAGGACCC